UUUUAGGGGAUUCAAGAGUACGUGAAACCGUCCAGGGGUAAACCUGCGAAACUCGAAUGAACGAACGGAGAGAUUCAUCGUCACUCCUCGGCGCACGUGCGUUAGUCGGAUGUCCGCGGUCUCGGCCGCGGGCACCUCUCGCGUACGUAGCGUCCGGGGACGGCGUGCACUUCUCUCUUAGUAAUACAUCGCGACCCGUUCGAUGUCGGUCUAAGUGCCUUUCGGGAGUCUCCGCACCCUCGCAGGUGUGGAUACCGUGAAGUGCACCGACCGGCCGUCGGACGGUAUAUCUAACGAAACGCUCACGCGCUCGCGCGCGUCCGUCCCGACGCAAGGUAACGUCGUCGCCCGCGUCCUGCCCGAGUGCGGACGUGGGUGCGGCGCGCCUGUCGUCGCAGCCGUGCUGUCUCGGACUGUGUGCGUAUCCGUCUGCGAUGAUUCAGUUUCGGCACUCGCAGGACCGUCUUGAAACACGA
rnacentral:rRNA from 1 species